GAAUUCGCCCUUAGAGUUUGAUCCUGGCUCAGGAUGAACGCUGGCGGCGUGCCUAACACAUGCAAGUCGAACGGAGUCAUAAAGCGGAAGUUUUCGGAUGGAAGGUUUAUGACUUAGUGGCGGACGGGUGAGUAACGCGUGGGUAACCUGCCUUGUACCGGGGGAUAACACUUAGAAAUAGGUGCUAAUACCGCAUAAGCGCACAGCUUCGCAUGGAGCAGUGUGAAAAACUCCGGUGGUACAAGAUGGACCCGCGUCUGAUUAGCUAGUUGGUGAGAUAAAAGCCCACCAAGGCAAUGAUCAGUAGCCGGCCUGAGAGGGUGAUCGGCCACAUUGGGACUGAGACACGGCCCAAACUCCUACGGGAGGCAGCAGUGGGGAGUAUUGCACAAUGGAGGGAACUCUGAUGCAGCGACGCCGCGUGAGCGAAGAAGGAAUUCGUUUCGUAAAGCUCUGUCCUAUGGGAAGAUAAUGACGGUACCAUAGAAGAAAGCCCCGGCUAACUCCGUGCCAGCAGCCGCGGUAAUACGGAGGAUCCUAGUGUUAUCCGGAUUUAUUGGGUUUAAAGGGAGCGUAGGCGGGAGGUCAAGUCAGCUGUGAAAUGUAUCUGCUUAACGGGUACACUGCAGUUGAAACUGGUUUUCUUGAGUGCGUAAGAGGCAGGCGGAAUUCGUUGUGUAGCGGUGAAAUGCUUAGAUAUGACGAGGAACUCCUAUUGCGAAGGCAGCUUGCUGGGUCGUUACUGACGCUGAUGCUCGAAGGUGCGGGGAUCAAACAGGAUUAGAUACCCUGGUAGUCCGCACAGUAAACUAUGGAUACUCUCUGCCGGCGAUACAUUGUCGGUGGCCAAGCGAAAGCGUUAAGUAUCCCACCUGGGGAGUACGUUCGCAAGAAUGAAACUCAAAGGAAAUGACGGGGGCCCGCACAAGCGGAGGAACAUGUGGUUUAAUUCGAUGAUACGCGAGGAACCUUACCCGGGUUUGAAUUGCUGAUGGCGAUAAUUGGAGACAGUUAUUUCCCUUCGGGGCGUCAGUGAAGGUGCUGCAUGGUUGUCGUCAGCUCGUGCCGUGAGGUGUCGGCUUAAGUGCCAUAACGAGCGCAACCCUCGCCGUUAGUUGCCAUCGGGUCAUGCCGGGCACUCUAUUGGGACUGCCAUCGUAAGAUGUGAGGAAGGUGGGGAGGACGUCAAAUCAGCACGGCCCUUAUGUCCGGGGCGACACACGUGUUACAAUGGGGGGUACAGUGGGAAGCUACCUGGCGACAGGUUGCGGAUCCCCAAAUCCUUUCUCAGUUCGGAUCGGAGUCUGUAACUCGACUCCGUGAAGUUGGAUUCGCUAGUAAUCGCGCAUCAGCCAUGGCGC
rnacentral:rRNA from 1 species